GUCUGGACGAUUGGCUCGAACGAAGGCAACAUGUCUUGCCAAAAUUACAAUUUGAGUUUCGCCUGGUGCAACCCGAAAAGAGAAAUCAUCCUUCCCACGAUAAUGCAGAAAAUUAACAGUUUGGAAAUAGUUCAAAAAGGACUCACGACGUCCAUGCUUAACGGGGCUGCCGUCUUGAAAACAUCAGAUUAUAAUUCAUUGUUUCCUUUUUUAUGCGAGCCAAAAGAUGAUUUUCAAGACUCUUGCCUUCCUCUUAAGUGCAACAAAGACAGCACAUUGUUCGAUGCAAAUAGAAUCAUUAAGGAUGGAGAAAAGUAUGGGAAGUGGACACGUACCUGCGACAAAUUAUACCUUUUCUCUAGCAAGCUUGGCACCUGGCAGCAGAGUUGGGACUUCUGUUGCAGUUUAGGCAUGCGUCCCAUAUGGUUUAGCUCGGCGUCCGACUUUGAGUGUUUAAGCAACACCAAUAAAGCGAACUGGACGCUAAACUGGAAUUAUUGGACGGUGGGACGCGCGAUGGGCACCUGGGGAAGGUGGGCCUGGUGCCCAGGAGCCGUGAACAUUCCCGACUCGCUUUCCUGGGCUCCGGGGCAACCGGACAACGCCCAGCCCGAUGAGAAUUGCCUGCAUUUGCAAGUGACCAAAAAUGCGAGUGGAAUACUUUUGUCAGACCGGAACUGCAGC